CCUACGGGAGGCAGCAGUGGGGAAUAUUGGACAAUGGGGGUAACCCUGAUCCAGCCAUGCCGCGUGUGUGAAGAAGGCCCUCGGGUUGUAAAGCACUUUCAGUGAGGAAGAACGCCUGGUGGUUAAUACCCAUCAGGAAAGACAUCACUCACAGAAGAAGCACCGGCUAACUCCGUGCCAGCAGCCGCGGUAAUACGGAGGGUGCGAGCGUUAAUCGGAAUUACUGGGCGUAAAGCGCGCGUAGGUGGCUUGAUAAGCCGGUUGUGAAAGCCCCGGGCUCAACCUGGGAACGGCAUCCGGAACUGUCAAGCUAGAGUGCAGGAGAGGAAGGUAGAAUUCCCGGUGUAGCGGUGAAAUGCGUAGAGAUCGGGAGGAAUACCAGUGGCGAAGGCGGCCUUCUGGACUGAAACUGACACUGAGGUGCGAAAGCGUGGGUAGCAAACAGGAUUAGAUACCCGGGUAGUC
rnacentral:rRNA from 1 species